AUUGAAAGCUGGCGGCAUGCUUUACACAUGCAAAUCGGGCGAGUGGCGAACGGGUGAGUAACGCAUCGGCAAGUACCGAGUAAUGGGGGAUAACUGUCCGACAGGACAGCUAAUACCGCAUAUUAUUCGCGCGGCCGAUGUCUGAUUAGCUGGUUGGCGGGGUAAAGGCCCACCAAGGCGACGAUCAGUAGCGGGUCUGAGAGGAUGCACCGCCACACUGGGACUGAGACACGGCCCAGACUCCUACGGGAGGCAGCAGUGGGGAAUUUUGGACAAUGGGCGCAAGCCUGAUCCAGCCAUGCCGCGUGUCUGAAGAAGGCCUUCGGGUUGUAAAGGACUUUUGUCAGGGAAGCGGUACCCGCAGAACAACCACCGGCUAACUACGUGCCAGCCGCCGCGGUAAUUC
rnacentral:rRNA from 1 species